UGGCGCUUAUUCUUAGACUGAUAAUAUUAUAUAUCUAUGGAACCAACCAACUGUGAUUUCCAAAAAAAAUUAAAAUAAAUAUAAUAUAUUACUUUUGUAAGCAACUCUUCUUGUCAAGUACCACAUCAGUUCUAUCCUCAACUCUUGAGUUAAAGGGGAUUUGGCAAGACAAUUUCUCCAUUCUUCUUUAUUAAUCUCCGCCAUAUUUGGUAUCAUCUUCUUCAAAAGUGAUGUCAACUAUGCUCUCUAUAAAAGACCAUACUUUCAAACCUGAUGCUACGAGUUAGUGAGAAUGCUUCUAUUGUCACAGCUACUACUCAUCGUGUUGGAAAGUUUUGAGCCCAAAUUAUAUGACAAGAUCAACUAGGAUGGCAUCCAUGACUUUCAGAUUUUCAAUUGAAGCUAGAGGUGAAUGAAAAACUCUACCUUCGGAACUGCUUCUGCUUCCGCUCUUAAUUUUGACCUAUAAAUAAUACUUAGUAGAAUCGCCAGUAAACGGCUAUCUAAGAUGAAGGAGCGGAGAGAGACUAAAGUAAUUUCAAUUUAAUAAUGUUGACAUCAAAAAGUUCGAUUGAUGCUUGCGACUUUGUUAUGAAUUUGAGAUCUCCAUUGGUGGAUAUGUUACCCAAUGAAUUCCUCUA